GACGAACGCUGGCAGCGUGCCUAAUACAUGCAAGUCGAGAGAAUGACGAGAAUCUUGCUUCUCUGAUUUAGCGGCGGACGGGUGAGUAACACGUGGGCAACCUGCCCUACAGAUCGGGAUAACUCAGGGAAACCUGGGCUAAUACCGGAUAAUCCUUCGAAUCACAUGUUUUGAAGUUUAAAGGCGCUUCGGCGUCACUGUAGGAUGGGCCCGCGGUGCAUUAGCUAGUUGGUGGGGUAACGGCCUACCAAGGCAACGAUGCAUAGCCGACCUGGGGGGGUGAUCGACCGCAUUGGGACUGAGACACGGCCCAAACUCCUACGGGAGGCAGCAGUAGGGAAUCUUCCACAAUGUACGAAAGUCUGAUGGAGCAACGCCGCGUGAGUGAUGAAGUUUUUCGGAUCGUAAAACUCUGUUGUAAGGGAAGAACAAGUACGUUAGGAAAUGAACGUACCUUGACGGUACCUUAUUAGAAAGCCACGGCUAACUACGUGCCAGCCGCCGCGGUAA
rnacentral:rRNA from 1 species